GUGAACGCUGGCGGUAGGCCUAACCCAUACCAGUCGAACGGCAGCACCGUAAGAGCUUGCUCUUACGGGUGGCGAGUGGCGGACGGGUGAGGAAUACAUCGGAAUCUACUCUUUCGUGGGGGAUAACGUAGGGAAACUUACACUAAUACCGCAUACGACCUACGGGUGAAAGCAGGGGAUCUUCGUACCUUGCGCGAUUGAAUGAGCCGAUGUCGGAUUAGCUAGGUGGCGGGGUAAAGGCCCACCAAGGCGACGAUCCGCAGCUGGACGGAGAGGAUGAUGAGCCACACUGGAACUGAGACACGGGCCAGACUCCUACGGGAGGCAGCAGUGGGGAAUAUUGGACAAUGGGCGCAAGCCUGAUCCAGCCAUACCGCGUGGGUGAAGAAGGCCUUCGGGUUGUAAAGCCCUUUUGUUGGGAAAGAAAAGCAGCAGGUUAAUACCCCGCUGUUCUGACGGUACCCAAAGAAUAAGCACCGGCUAACUUCGUG
rnacentral:rRNA from 1 species